rnacentral:RNase_P_RNA from 1 species
CGAGAAGAGGGGACCAUCGCUGGUUUUUUGAGCAAUCAAAAAACGGGAGGAAAGUCCGGACACCACAUGGCAACGUAGCGGGUAACGCCCGCCCACCGCGAGGUGAGGACAAGUGCAACAGAAAGGAUGUACAGGUAAUGCUGUAGUGAAAUCAGGUAAACUCUACGUGGUGCAAGUCCAAAUAGGCAAAGGUGUUUUUUGGUCAAACAAAGAACUAGGAAGGGCCACUUCUGAAGAUUGCGGGUAGGGUGCUCGAGCCUUAGGGUAACUUAAGGCCUAGAUGAAUGAUGGUUCAAGACAGGAUCCGGCUUACACCUUCUCUCGGUUU